rnacentral:rRNA from 1 species
AUUGAACGCUGGCGGCAGGCCUAACACAUGCAAGUCGAACGAGUGGCGGACGGGUGAGUAAUGUCUGGGAAACUGCCUGAUGGAGGGGGAGAACUACUGGAAACGGUAGCUAAUACCGCAUACCAUCGGAUGUGCCCAGAUGGGAUUAGCUAGUAGGUGGGGUAAAGGCUAACCUAGGCGACGAUCCCUAGCUGGUAUGAGAGGAUGACCAGCCACACUGGAACUGAGACACGGCCCAGACUCCUACGGGAGGCAGCAGUGGGGAAUAUUGGACAAGGGGCGCAAGGCUGAUGCAGCCAUGCCGGGUGUAUGAAGAAGGCUUUCGGGUUGUAAAGUAAUUUUAGCGGGGAGGCGUUACCCGAAGAAGAAGUACCGGCUAACUCCGUGCCAGCCGCCGCGGUAAUUC